CAGCACAUUUUGCAUAUUCAACCAUCAGACUGGAAGAACUCAAGGAGCUGACAGAGUCAUCAAGAUCAGUAGAAAUCUAACUGUUUCAAACCUUUCUAAGAUGAAGACCUUCAGCGUUGCAGUUGCAGUGGCCGUUGUGCUCACCUUCAUUUGCAUUCAAGAGAACUCUGCUGUCCCAGUUGUUGGAGUGCAGGCAAUGGAAGAGAUGAUCAGCCAUGACAGUCCAGUUGCUGUAAAGAAGGUGGUGUCUAACAGGCAGAAGCGGGGAAACUGUCACGAGUGCUGCAACAGGGGUGUAUGCUUUCAGUGCUGUUAUGUUUGAAGUUAAACUACUGGAAUUAUUGGAGAUACUACAGUGUAUUAUCACGAUAAAUGUCAAUAUCACUAUAAUAUACUGCCUUACUGUUUUUUUAUUUUAAAAUGGGAGUAUAAAUUAUUGUUAUAUUGCUACUCUUAAUAUACCUCAAUCCUCUCAAAUAUGCAACAGAGAUUCAAUCCAUAAGCACUUCAUGAAAGCAUUCACAGAUGUGUUGUGUGCAGUAAAUGAUUCAUUUCAUGUUUCCUGAAGUAGCAUAAAAGCUGCAUAGCAUUUAUAUUAGUUGAAAUGAUCAGCUUAAGUUGAUUAUUAUUUACAAAAGCCUACAGUCUAAUUAUGUUUAAAGAGUUAACACUUUAAGGGAGCAAAAUCAUCAAAGUAUAUCUAUAUGUUUGUGCCUGAGAUGAUGAAAUGUGUUAUGAAUUAUGAUUGUUCAUACAAAAAGAAAAUCAGAGUUUACAUCUACAAAAUAAGCUUUUUAGCACAAAGCAUCAAAUCAUGUAUGCUAACCUUUGUUUUCUUGACUAUACAGACACAAUAGUGUAUUUUUUAUUAUUAAAAGUAAAACUUUUGUUUAAGAGUUUAUGUUACCUAAAACCUGUUGAAAUAUUGCAAAAGCCUCAAGUUGGUUGCACAUGAUGUAAUGAAGGUAGCUGCUGUGGAUAACAGAGCAUUAUAAUAAUGUGCUGUUUGUGGCACUGCUUUAGAUAUAUUUAGAGUCUCGUUAUAGACAGGUAUCAGAACAAAGAAGAUAUAACUGAAAAGGACAAAAUACUGAACUAAUAGACUGUAAAUGGUCUAUUAGCUCACAAAAUGUCAUUGAACAGAGAUUUUUUUUAAAAACCCAAAACUAUUAAUUUAAACUAUGUAUCACUGUUUAUAAAAACCCUUCUUUUUUAAAUAUAUGCUGUAUAUUAAGUCCUUAUCUGUCAUUAUCUAGGUAAUAAGUGUCCCACUUUGCACACAAAAUAUUUUUGCAACACUUUAACAUAGAAUGAACUAUUUUAGAAAAUGAAAGUUAUGAUUAAUGUCAUUCUCUUUACAUGUAUGUCACAAUGUAUACAUUGUUCCACUGUAUAUGAAUUAGAUCUAGUGAAACAGUAAUGUAUGUCAGGACAUCCAUAAUGAAACUGCAGUAAAGUUAUAUAAGAAAUAAAAACAUUUACAAACUCAUUUGUCAUUUUAAUUUAGUAUUCAUGUGUGUUCUUUAUUAUAUAUAACUGUGAAGGAAAAUUAAUUACCUUAUUACUGUGUACAUGUUUUCUAAUAUACUGUGUAAUUUGAGACAGUCAGUACAAAGUAUGUUUGAAUGAACUGGUUAAGUAAAUAUGUUGAACUCCGUUAGCAAGCUGAGACCCAGACAGUGAACGAGAUGAACUGUCUGUGCAAACGAACAUUGGACUGUGUAUGUGACCAGAUGCCGGGUCCUUAUGUCAUCAAUCUACUAUUAAAGCCGGGAGAUUUCUGCUCAUCGGGGUCCAGUCUUCUCAUGAGUCUUGAGACUGUGAGGGCUGCACCCUACUUCGGCCGAGUAGUCUGUCUGUGUUGCAUGAAAGCUGUUUUGGGUUGUAUGCAUAAUUUGAUUCUGAUAUUCACUAAUAAAUGCCUUAAAGUCUGAGAUUGCUCUCAGUGUUAUUAGUGAGUAAAUUAUUUGUCUCCUAUUUUCAUACAGAAUAAGCAUAUUAAAUCUGGCUCAACAAUAACAAAGAGUGAAGAUGCAGAUUAAGUAUAAGCAUGAUGUAUGAUAGUGCAGGAGAAAAGUUCAUGUUUAGUUUGAUGACACAAAAAGACCUGAGGCUGACAAACAACAAAUAGAGAAUUUCCCAUCCAUGGCAGAAACACAUGGGAAUGUUGGGAGUGUUGUAAUUUGUGAAAGUGCAAGUGAUGAGGCAACAGUAGCCCAGGGAGUAUUAAUACCAGCACAUUUUGCAUAUUCAACCAUCAGACUGGAAGAACUCAAGGAGCUGACAGAGUCAUCAAGAUCAGUAGAAAUCUAACUGUUUCAAACCUUUCUAAGAUGAAGACCUUCAGCGUUGCAGUUGCAGUGGCCGUUGUGCUCACCUUCAUUUGCAUUCAAGAGAACUCUGCUGUCCCAGUUGUUGGAGUGCAGGAAAUGGAAGAGAUGAUCAGCCAUGACAGUCCAGUUGCUGUAAAGAAGGUGGUGUCUAAUAGGCAGAAGCGGGCAUACUGUGGCCGUUGCUGCGACAACGGCGUCUGCAGAAAGUGCUGUUAUGCAUGAAGUUAAACUACUGGAAUUAUUGGAGAUACUACAGUGUAUUAUCACGAUAAAUGUCAAUAUCACUAUAA